rnacentral:lncRNA from 1 species
ACCCAGCAUAAUUAUACAACAGCUCCUGUCCUUCACUGGAUGUUCCACCACAGUACCAUCUGGAGCCUUAGUUGAAUAAAACAGAGUGUCCACAUCUUCAAAUACACACUUCUGUUUCUGACUCUAGGCAUUCGAAAAACCUGCAACCGCACAAGUCCCCUAGUGUAUCUUUCAUCAUCUCAUGGCUGCCACUGAUGGCUUCGUAACCUGCCUCCAUGUUUCAUUGUCUCGUGUGAAUGGGUGGCACCGAGAAAAGAGAUAUUGCAUGGUGCUCGAAUGCAUUCAUGCUCUUGAUGUCGAUGGCAUGGAUUUGCUCAGAUCAUCGUAGCAUGGCAUGAAGAUAAGAAAGCUCAGACAACUGUCAUUGCUGGGCCAGCAGUAAACUUCGGUGAUGAACAACAUGAAAUCAAUGUUAAGACAACUAUAUAUGAAGUCGGCACACAAUAGCAGAGUGUAUC